AGACACUUGGCUGAGCUGUAGCGUGCAAUUAAAAUGCCAUUACAUGAGAAAACAAAGCAACAACUGCACAGUGGGAUAAGGGAGUUUGAAUAUAAAAGUUAAAUAUAACAUAGUAUCAGAUAAUUCCUACUAUCGCACUCUUUUUUUUCAGAAAAACUUAUACGGCUUUGAUACGACUUUAUACGGAUCUUUUUUACCUUUAACGGAUCAUCGCUAAACUAUGGACAAGAGAAUCUUCGACGAUUACUUGAACUCGGUGGGAUCUGACGAGAGCAUCCUGUCCGUUGCUGACAGGGAAGACAGGGACAGGGAAGUCUUGCAAGGCCAAGAAAAAGCCUACAUGUGCCCGGAAACAGAUGAAGUGCUCGAAGCCUAUGAAGACGUGCAAGUCAAAACCUAAGAAAACCUGCAAGCCCGGUCCUAUUAUGAAUAAUGGAUACCUUAACUUCGUGCGUGCCUAGAAGGAACUGAUUAGAAGGGCGGCCAGAGCCUGGUGCCGUUUAUCCGAGGAAAAAAAAAUAUAUACCGGCGCAUGGCUUGCAAAGUUACAACUAGUGAAAGACAUAAAAGACGCAAAGUGUGCAAUCCUGAAAAAUGCGAGAAAUAUUAGGUGGCUCAUCUAAGUCUUCUUCAAUCAAUCCCCGUCUUCUGGCCCCUGUUAAUUUUGAUGUGCUAUUGGUGGCUCAUCUAAGUCGUCUUCAAUCAAUCCCUGUCUUCUGCCCUCGGCUAAUUUUGAUCUGAAAAAUUAAGGUUUAGGUUUCCAAAACAGUCUAUGGUAUAUUAUUAAUAAAGCAUAAAUUAUUUUUUCGGCCUAAUAAAGUUUUUAUAAUGGGAGGAAAGGGGAUCAACCAAAAUAUACGCAAGAGCAUGCUUUAUGAUGCUAUUAAUCGGA